rnacentral:rRNA from 1 species
UGGGGAAUAUUGCACAAUGGGCGCAAGCCUGAUGCAGCCAUGCCGCGUGUAUGAAGAAGGCCUUCGGGUUGUAAAGUACUUUCAGCGGGGAGGAAGGCGAUAAGGUUAAUAACCUUGUCGAUUGACGUUACCCGCAGAAGAAGCACCGGCUAACUCCGUGCCAGCAGCCGCGGUAAUACGGAGGGUGCAAGCGUUAAUCGGAAUUACUGGGCGUAAAGCGCACGCAGGCGGUCUGUCAAGUCGGAUGUGAAAUCCCCGGGCUCAACCUGGGAACUGCAUUCGAAACUGGCAGGCUAGAGUCUUGUAGAGGGGGGUAGAAUUCCAGGUGUAGCGGUGAAAUGCGUAGAGAUCUGGAGGAAUACCGGUGGCGAAGGCGGCCCCUGGACAAAGACUGACGCUCAGGUGCGAAAGCGUGGGGAGCAAACA